GAAUGUGAGGAUAAUCCAUCAGUAACACAUCGUCCCCUUGAUCGAUGUGAUUGAUGAAGCUAUUUUGGCUGGCUAGAGAUGUUUCUCCUUCCUCCUUUAGAGUUCCGUAUGCAUCCCUUCCAAAGCCACAUGCUCAAUCACAGAAGACGGAUGAUCUCCCAAGACAGAGUAGGGCUGUUCUUCAGUCAAGGAUAUGGAGUGGUUAUUUUUCAACACCAGAAUCUCUAUUCCAGUGAUCUCGAACUUUAACAGGCGUCAGAAUCACCUGGAGCAUUUAUCAGCCUACAAAUUGCUGGGUCCCAGUGCUGGAGUUCUAGUAGGU
ensembl:misc_RNA 7SK 7SK RNA